UACGAAGGGAGCUAGCGUUGUUCGGAAUCACUGGGCGUAAAGCGCACGUAGGCGGAUUGCCAGUCAGGGGUGAAAGUCCCGGGGCUCAACCUCGGAACUGCCUUUGAUACAGCAAGUCUUGAGUUCGAGAGAGGUGGGUGGAAUUCCUAGUGUAGAGGUGAAAUUCGUAGAUAUUAGGAAGAACACCGGUGGCGAAGGCGGCCCACUGGCUCGACACUGACGCUGAGGUGCGAAAGCGUGGGGAGCAAACAGG
rnacentral:rRNA from 1 species